GCCAAUGUCAUUAUAGUGGCAUGAGUGCUGGACUAAGAUGCUGGAGACCAGGGUUCGAAUCCCUGCUUGGUCU